AGGCCUUAGCUGCUUUCUCCCAACUGUGCCCUCCGGGGGACUCACUACCGGAAGCUGGCUGGAAAGACAUCAGACUUGCUCCUGCCCCUCUGGUGAGAGGAGCUUGCUCACUCCCAUAAGGAAGAGAAUCAGGGAGAAGACCAGGCUUGUGGACUAACGUCUGCAUUCAAGCCCAGCUCUGCUUGUUGGGUAAGUGCUAGCCCUGGUUGGGAUUCAGACUUCGAUCUGUAAAGCAGGGUAAGAAACCCUACCUCACAGCCAUCAACACCGUGAGCAUCAUCAUCACCAUCUCUGGACAAUUUCGGCUUGAAAAGAGUGGUAUUGCAGCUAGAAAGGCCUGCAUUCUAAUUUGACCAUUAGAACUUGGAGAAAUGGGGAGAAGCAGGUCUCCCAGUGGAGCAAUCUGGAGCUAGAAAAGAGCGUUCAGAUGUGAGUGAACAGAGGGAACAGGUAUUUUCUGGGCAUCUGCUGCCUGACAGGCUGUGCUGGGCCCUUUUACCUGGGAGCUCCUCUCCAAACCACGCACGGUUCCCUCAGCCAUACUGUACCAUGGCUUCUGCUGUGUGCCAGUCCAUGAAGCCUCUUCUCUCAUCUGUGUCUCUAGCCAGCCCUAAGAAGCAAGACCAAGGCCCUCAUCUUCACUCCUUCAACUGUUAGUGAUCUUAGAACACAGGAAGACAACCACACAGCCCACGCAGGACCUGCGGGUCCCGAUUCCAGGACAGAGCAUGUUGCCGGAAGCCAGAAGACUUAGAAGACCUCUUGCCUCCAAAGCCUGGUGACCUGAGGCCCAGUGCUGAGCUGGCCAUGGGGCAGCCUUAGGAAGGAACAUCAGACCCUGUGGGGCAGGACCUGCAGGACUGUGGCUGGAGCACCAAUGCCGAGCACGCACAGAGGUUCUGAAAAAAGUCACAUCACCAUGUCAGGCAGAGCCUGACACACACAUCAUUACUGUCAUCAUUACUGUGCAGACUCUCACCCUAGAUGGUGCCAAGACCAAAAAAAGCAUCUGCUGGUUUGCAGAGCUGGGGCCAUGCUUAGAUCAUUGUCUUGUGCUCGGCAGACAGGAGCAGGGUGAUGCUGACGUCUGGUGCUGGCAGAAAUCUGGACUCAGGCUCCGGGCUUGAGUGGAAGGGACAGAACAAAGAUCUUGGGACUCCCAUUCCAGUGGGACCUCAAGCCAUUCCUCAACAAUUUCCUGAGCGUCUACUAUGUGCCAUCCCAGAAAUAAGUCUGGCACGCAGAAACAAGUCUUCCUCUGAAGUCAAGGAGCUCGCAGAUUCCACACUGUUGGAGCCUGGCGAUUGGUACUGUGACACAGGGUAGCACAAGGUCUCUUCUUACGUGGCCCAAGGGCUUGGGGGGAGGACAAGAAAUCAGCUUGCAGGAAAGGUCUGCCAAAUUGCCUUUCCAAAUUGAAGAGUGGAUCAGGGAUAGACUGGGGUUCCAUUUAGUGGAACCACGUGGGCUAAGAGGAGGGGAGAGAAAGCAAGGACACAGAAGAGGGCCUGGGAGGACCCAAGUCUGUACAUCAUCACUCUCACAGCUCCUGGUAUGUGACAUCUGACUGCUGCAGAAGACAAGCUCUCCAUGCUUGUGGAGGACUGACUAUAAAAUUGACACAACACUUCUCCUCCAUCCACGCCUCUCUGCAAAGUGACUCUGCAGCUCCUCCCUUAAGAGGCUGUGUCCUCACCUACUUAAUCUAGGUCCACCCGAGACUCACAUCAACCACUGGAAGGGGGUAAUGACACGCGAGAGUUCUGAGCUUAGGCCUCAGGAGACCUUGCUAGCAUCUGCCUAUCUUGGAACUUUGCUCAGCCCCUGGUUGAACAAGGCCAGGCUAUUCUACUGGAUAAUGACAGGCACAUGGCCCAGUCCUCCUCAUUCCCCUCCAUUUCGCCCCACACGAAAAUCAGCCCACAGCUGAUCCACUGGUAGAUCUGGGGUGCGUCAACCUGGAAUUUUCCUAAUUUUAAAACUGGAAGUCCAACAUUCCAAGAUCUCUUCCAGUCCCAGGCAAAUGCAGGUGACUGACUGGUCAGCCAAGUUGACGACAGGUGUAUGAACAAGCCCCACCAGCACUGUAGGAAGUUGUGCAUAGCACUGAUCAUGAGAGGGAAGGCACUGAAGUUCCAGGAGGUGAAGAAGCCUCCCAGUGUCUUAAAGCCAGUGUGUGCCGACAAUGGAACACCGAUCCAGGGCUUGAAUCUUUCCCCUCCACCAAGCUGCCUCUUUAAUCAGCAUAUUUGUGCUGUAGUAACUCAAGCUCCCCUGGAGACUGUUAAUUUAACAAGUCUCUGGUCAAGCUUGGGCUCUCUGAGAUGGUUUUCUUUACAAGAUCCAGUGUCAGGCCAUGUGAUAUAACCCCUCCCCUGAAGGAUGAUGAGACCAAUACUUAACCACAAGCCACCACCAAUUCUGCUGUGGUCAGAGACCAGGGCAAAGGCAGACACUUGACUGUCAGCGAAAGAUGUGUGUUUAGGACUGCCUGGUGCAACCUGUGUUCCUGGUACCAUCCAGGUUGAAAGCCACAUAGACUUUGUGAACAAGAAGCUGGCAGACAGGGAUCUUGGUUCUAAUUCUGACACACACCAGCUGCAUGACCUUGGUCAAGUCACUGUCCUUGUUCAGCAGACUUGGCAUCAAUAGAUUAUUUAAAACCCAGGCUAUUCACUGUGAAUUCUUUAAGGUCUGGGAGCGUGGCUUAUUCACUUUGGUAUCCAGUACCCAGUAUGGUGCUUUGGACCUGCUCAGUAAACAAGUUCUGGUUAAAUAUAUAUGAUAGCAGGAUAUCCCAUGGGAAAUUACCUUCCCCCCUCAAUAGAGCAAGAAGUCUCUAGCAAUUUGGGUAGGAAAAGGGACCCCGGCAGACUAAUUUGGAAGAAAGGCAAGUUUUUUUCUCCUUUACGAAGGAAAAAUAUGACUGGACUUUGUGUUUCCAGUGUUUGGACAUCUUUGUCCCUAAGGAUAUUUGGCUGGCUUUACGGUGUUCCUCCUUGUUUAGUCAUUCUGAACAUAUAUGAGAUGGUGGAACCUUAGGGUUUUGGGAGGAAAAGGUUGCUAAGGGAGCCUGGUGACCUCAGGAGUCUAGUAGGAACACCAGGAGCAAAAUAUGCAUCAAGAAGACCCCUCUCCUUCCAAGGGCCAUGCAGGCUUGGGUAGGAAGCUGGGCAAGUAAGACUUCCUGCAUCAGGGUUUCAGCACUGGGCAGACUGUCAUGGGCCCAUGGCUUCCCAUCAGGCAAAUUGGUGACCACAGCAGUGGCUCCAGUAAUAGCAGAGUUUUCCACACCUUGGCAGUACUAUGGGUUGAGCUGCAUCUACCCAAAAUUUGUAUGUUGAAGUUUAACCCCAGUAAUUCAGAAUGUGAUCUUAUCUGGAAUUAGGAUCAUUGUUGAUAUAAUUACUUAAAUGAGGAUGAGAUCAUAUCCGAGUAGUGUGGGCUCCUAAUCCAAAUGACCAGGGUCCUAGUAACAUGGAGAAAUCUGGACACAGGUGUGAACCAGGGAGAACAUGUGUAGAGAUGAAAGCAGAGACUGGGGCUGUGCAGUGACAAACUCAGGAACCUCAAAGGCUGCCAGCAAACUGCCAGAAGCUAGGGGUGUGUGUGUGUGUUCUCCCUCAGAGAGCCCUCAGCUGGAACCAACUUGCUGACACCUGGCCUUAGGACUCCCAGCAAACUACUGCACGACAGGCAGUCUGAGAGACCAUCUUCAUGGUUGAGAGGGGACAAUGUGAGUUUCCUUUGUUGUAGGACAAGUCAAGGGAGAGGAAGUGGGGAAGGAGACCAUGAGAAAAACCAGUCUGGACUUGCAUUAAUUCUGAGAAAUAAAGAACAAUGACCCCAAUUCCCUGGCUCCACCAGUAUCAGGAUCACGAAGCCCUUUCCCCUUUCACCAAAGAGAUAUAAGUGUCAAGGUGGAAGUAAUCCCAGAGAGGUAUCAUUCCCCUUUUGCCAGGUGAGGAGAUGCAGGUCCUGAAAAGUGAAGUAUUUUUGUCAGCAGGAGGAGACAGAGCUGGGACUACAACUUGGGUAUCUGUAAAUGUCUUUCUCCAAAUAUCAACAUGCCUCACCCAGCGAACAUACAGAGCUGUGGCAUUUGCAUGAAAUGCUAAAGCCUCAGUGGGCAUAAUUGUAUAUUUAGAAAUUCUCAAGAAGACAGGCGGCGGGAAAAGUGGAUCUUUCCAUUUUCACAAAUUAUUUUGAGAGCCAGGACAAGUGAGGAUUCUUUUUCCAAGACUGAGAGAAAACCUAGCUGUGAAGAAGCUGUCAGAAAUAAGUGUACUGUACAAAGCCUUUGAUCUGCAAAACGAUGAACCAUUAGAUCCCCUUAAAUAGAGAGUCCCCAUGGGCCAAUUAGGAAUGGUGUUUUAGAAAUCAUUAAUGACUGGGGGGUAGGGCUGGAGAAAGGAAGAGGAAGACAUGGAAACCAGAGUUCCAUUCUAGGGUGGGAGCCACCAGGCAUGGAAGAUGAAUCAGACAGCAGAGGAACGUAACCUAAAAUAAUCGUGUAAGUUAAUGAGCAAAGAAGAUUCAGCUCUUGGACAAAUCUUCAUUAACGCUGCUAAUGCUGAUUGAUGCUUUACAUUUAUCUAGUGUUUUUCACAUUCCAAAGCACUUUUCCAACAAUUCUCUAUAAGCUCAAGAUUCUCUCUAAGCUAGAGUGACUAAGUACUUUAUCAUCCAAAAACCGGUCACUUUGGAGGACGAGAGGAAGCAUUCUUAAUAAUCACAUAGGGUCAGCAGGUUUAAACUAGGACUGUCAUAGGCAAACAGGGAUGAAUGGUCAGCCUACUACACCUCCAAAAGUGAAUGGCUAAGCAAGGAUCCCAUCUCCAUGGAUUCACCCAUUCAUUCCUCAAACCUGCCCCUCCAUAGCUUUAUCUGUAUCCAUUCAGUUGCUCAAGUAAAAGCACAGGCCACUCUGAAGUCUAAACUUUCUCUCUCUGAUCUAUCCCCACCAGCUCCAACCACCAGCUGACCCUGACAAGUGUAUGUGCAAGUUGUAUCACCACUUGUCCAUCUGUGUCCUUUUUAAAUUAAGUUUAUUGGUACAUUUUAGGUAUAAACAAUACACGUAAAUGAUAUAUGAUACACCUUGAUUCUUAGUCCAUCUGUGUCCCUCUUCUCUGAUUCCACCUUAGUCCCCAGCAUCGUUGCUUCUCAUCUAGAGAGCAGCAAGAGCCUUUGAAUCCAUCUCCCCACUCUCACCCUUGUCCUUCUUAGGCAAAAUAAUUUUUGAAAAAUUUAAAUCUCAUCAUGUUUACUCCUUGCUCAGAAUAUUACAGCAGCUCUCUACUGUAUGGAGAAUAAAAAACUAAACUCUAGAUCUACACCUUGUAUCUUUGCUCAGCAAGUAUUUGUUAAAUAAUGAAGAAAGUCAACGAGUAUUUACUGAGUAUAGUAUAUGGAUUAGGAUCAUGCAAAUUUUACCCUCUAGUUUCUGUGUUACCUAUGUCACUGUUGGGAAGAAAAUUUCAUCCUAACUUCUAACAUUAAUUUCCAUAUGAAAGGAGCUCCCCCAGGGCCCCUCUUAGUUUCUCUCUGUCCCUUUAAGACACAAGUAGUGGAAUGAGUGUCAUUGGUGGUAAACUGAGGAAGAAUAAAUUGGGCCACGUUCUCUUCCUCCUGACAGCUGGAAAUACUUCUGUUGUUCCUAGUGGCUGGCUCUUCCUCUGCCCCAUCCAGCAUUGCCCAGGACUGGGUGGAUAACUCUGUUUAACUCUGGGUCAAAUUAUGACCUUUACUGGCUGUCACACUAAAUGAAGUUAUUCAUUAUCAUUAACUGCAUGAUAUUUUGCCUUCCACCUGUCACUUUAUUUCUCAGUGUGUCCAAACUCAGGUAGAGAGAGGGAUGCUACUUAUUUGCCUCCUCUAGACUUCAAAUGUCCUUUGAGAGACAGGAGAAACCCGUUGCAUAAAGCCUAGUAUAGAGCUGCUGGCAACCCAAGGGUAUGACCAAUCUGGGACUGAAGAAAUGAAAGCUGUAACAGUGCGGUUGCCGCCUGAGCGAGGAUCAUGUGGGACUCAGUGAAAACUGAAGUACAAAUUUAGCAGCCACAUUUAGCCCAGAAGAAUGUCUUCAGGAAUGAAUCACGAAGGGAAUAUUGUCAUUUGUGCAAAGAAAUGGAGGCUUAUAAGGGAAAAGGUGGCUAGAGAUUCUCGUUUAUGUUUAUGAAAACAGAUGGCCCUUUUGAAAAACGGAAAGCCAAAACAAAAGCAUCAUUUAUUCCAGGAGUUAAGAGAUUUCUCUAUUGACAUCACAUAAAAACUCAUCUCUUAUGGUUUUUAACCCCCUGGAGAAUUUGUAAAUAGCAUCUCUUAAAAUAAAAGCAAAAAGAGUUUUCAAAAGGAUUUAAGUUACAUAAGAUUAACUUGGUUCCCGCUCUCCCCCAUCAAUUUAUCUUCCCUGGGUCUGCUCUUUGCCAGGGUGCUGCUGCUGCUGCAAAUCUUCAACCACUGGGAGUGGCUUGCAAAGGUGGCAAAUGUGAACCCUAGUCCAGGAAGCCCUCAGGGGAGGGACACCCUGACUCUUCUACUUUCCCAGGUCUCGCAGAGCCCUACAGCAAGUGGAAGACUGGGACAAAACUGUGACUCAUUGCCUCACCAUCUUGAAUUCUUCUUCAAACUAUUCUUCCCUUGACCUUCAGACUCUGACUUAAAACAAAACAAAAAAUUGCUGUCCAUGCCCAUGCCUAGGGCUGAGCUUAUUGCAUGUCUCCCCACUCCUGCUCUGUGCCCUGGAAGGCUGCUCAGUAAGCACAGGGUCAGCUGGCUCCCUCUGGCUUCCAGGUGCAAGGAGCCAAUGGCAGGAUCUGGCGGGAAUUCUGAGGAGGUUGGGAGGAGAAUGACCUUGGGCUAUUUAUCCUCUGGAUGCCCUCCCUGCUGGGCUGUACCUUGGCAGUCUGCUGAGUUUCCAUUUAGGUGGCAUAACUCCUGAGGGUGGCUCUUUGCUACAACUACAACACAGCGACAACUUUCUCCAGGGUCCAGUACUGCUCUCUUCCCUUGUCCAUCAGGCUAGAAGUAACAGUUCCUAGCCAUUGCCAGCCUGAGUGGCCCACCAGCCUCUGCAGUUGUUUUUAAUCCUGCUCACACGUUUACUAUACGCUCCUCAAUUGCAUCAUCUCCAAGUGCCAUUGUUACUUGCCAAGAUUCUGAUUAAUAUACUGUAUCUCUUUGUCAAUAGCUAUGUCUAGCUUUGUUUGAUUUCAAAUAGAGUUGUAUUUUGUUCUUUUCCUUCUUCAUCAAUCUUCUUGAACAAAUACCCAGAAACUUUGAGCUCAGAAGUGCUCAGCUGUCUAACCUGGUGG